ACUUAUUUAGCUUAUAAAGAGUAUAGUAUUGAAGAUACUAAGGAAAUUUAAAAUUAUUAAGUA
rnacentral:tRNA from 1 species